UCAUUUUCUUAUCCGGAAAGAUUUUGGGACCACGAAUGGUAUUUUUGGGUAAGUGGUACUGAGACGAAUUCGUAGACAUGCGGCAGGCUGGAAACAGAGUUGUGACGAAAAAGUUACAAGCAAAACAUUAUCAGUGGCAAAAUUAUAAUUAAUUCAAAAAGGGUUAGAGUAAAAAUUUGAUUUUUCAUUUUUACCUCACUCUCUCUCUCUCUCUUCUCCCGAUUCUCUCUCUCUCCCGCGUCGUUCCUCCCCUCCUCUUCCUACUGCAAUUUGCACAGCCACAUUCACAUGCCAUGGCCAGCCUCGAGACCGGACCCAAAACGUCCGACCAGACCUCGCCGACGUUCCCCAAUCUACCUCCAGCCAUCAGCCGCCACCAAGUCGUCGGAAAAUACGAAUUUCAGGCCGGUUUUCAUCCAAAUUUUCAGUCACUCGAUCUCUCUCCUCCGACCACUAAUCCCGACGGGUGAGUCAAUAGUCGCUCCAGGAAGCGUGCAAGUGGUGUACGAUGCUCGAACUGUGAACCUUCAUAGUUAGGAUUUGAGUAAUUUCUUCUACUCAACUGUUCUUGUAAUCUAAAUUCAGUAGAUGCUCUGUUAUCGCCCAUGGUAGAUUUUACUUGUGAGGCCGGAGGCCAUUUAGUAUGACUUGUUGAAUUAUGAAAACAUGCUGCUGGUUCGGAUUUUUA